rnacentral:rRNA from 1 species
GGUUAAGCGACUAAGCGUACACGGUGGAUGCCCUGGCAGUCAGAGGCGAUGAAGGGCGUGCUAAUCUGCGAUAAGCGCCGGUAAGGUGAUAUGAACCGUUAUAACCGGCGAUACCCGAAUGGGGAAACCCAGUGUGACUCGUCACACUAUCAUUAACUGAAUCCAUAGGUUAAUGAGGCGAACCGGGGGAACUGAAACAUCUAAGUACCCCGAGGAAAAGAAAUCAACCGAGAUUCCCCCAGUAGCGGCGAGCGAACGGGGAGGAGCCCAGAGCCUGAAUCAGCAUGUGUGUUAGUGGAAGCGUCUGGAAAGACGCGCGAUACAGGGUGACAGCCCCGUACACAAAAGCGUAUGUGCUGUGAGCUCGAUGAGUAGGGCGGGACACGUGGUAUCCUGUCUGAAUAUGGGGGGACCAUCCUCCAAGGCUAAAUACUCCUGACUGACCGAUAGUGAACCAGUACCGUGAGGGAAAGGCGAAAAGAACCCCGGCGAGGGGAGUGAAAAAGAACCUGAAACCGUGUACGUACAAGCAGUGGGAGCACAGGUUUACCUGUGUGACUGCGUACCUUUUGUAUAAUGGGUCAGCGACUUAUAUUCUGUAGCAAGGUUAACCGAAUAGGGGAGCCGGAGGGAAACCGAGUCUUAAUUGGGCGUUAAGUUGCAGGGUAUAGACCCGAAACCCGGUGAUCUAGCCAUGGGCAGGUUGAAGGUUGGGUAACACUAACUGGAGGACCGAACCGACUAAUGUUGAAAAAUUAGCGGAUGACCUGUGGCUGGGGGUGAAAGGCCAAUCAAACCGGGAGAUAGCUGGUUCUCCCCGAAAGCUAUUUAGGUAGCGCCUCGUGAAUUCAUCUCCGGGGGUAGAGCACUGUUUCGGCUAGGGGGUCAUCCCGACUUACCAACCCGAUGCAAACUGCGAAUACCGGAGAAUGUUAUCACGGGAGACACACGGCGGGUGCUAACGUCCGUCGUGAAGAGGGAAACAACCCAGACCGCCAGCUAAGGUCCCAAAGUCAUGGUUAAGUGGGAAACGAUGUGGGAAGGCCCAGACAGCCAGGAUGUUGGCUUAGAAGCAGCCAUCAUUUAAAGAAAGCGUAAUAGCUCACUGGUCGAGUCGGCCUGCGCGGAAGAUGUAACGGGGCUAAACCAUGCACCGAAGCUGCGGCAGCGACACUCAGGUGUUGUUGGGUAGGGGAGCGUUCUGUAAGCCUGCGAAGGUGGCCUGUGAGGGUUGCUGGAGGUAUCAGAAGUGCGAAUGCUGACAUAAGUAA